rfam:Mesocricetus auratus contig071689, whole genome shotgun sequence.
UGGCUCAGAGGUUAAGAGCACUGGAUGCUCUUCCAGAGAUUUCUGGGUUCGAUUCCCAG